GUGGUCUCCUUCAUAUGGCUCCAGAUGUUUCACUCAACUUGUGACAGAAUGACCCAACCAGCCAGUUGAUGGCGUCUCUCUGGGAGUCUGUAGAACAUGAGGCUACAGUCUCGAUGCUCCCAGAAAACCCUCUUCUUCACACAAAUGCCUUGUGAACAGCAGUGAGUGGGAGGUUCCUUCUUGACUCACCAAUCACGGCAGAACUUGUUUACCACCGCCAAACUACCUAUUGCCAAGCGAGGAAAGAAUGAAGGCACGUUUUUAUCCUGUUGCCAGGUGAUCCAGCCUCAACUCACGACUGAACUUUGACCCGUGAAUUACAGUCUCUCAGUCUUGUGGAGAGGGUUUGAUUGAUCUGUUGCUCCAGAACUAUCGAUUGUUUAUAUCCUUGUGCGUCCAGGGACAGAGUUAAAGGUUAAUCCCAAUGAAGUGCUUCGGGAAAAAAAAACAAAACUUGCUGGUCAUACACACUGCUUGAAGCUUUGUCUUGUGAGCGUCCAAGUGAAAUUCAUAUUGCCACUUCUGGUCAGACCGUGCUCAACAUCAGUGCUCUGCACAUCAGCAGUUUAAAUGGUGAAAUUUCAGAGCCUUUACCCUCUUCGAUAAAAAUGUUGAUGAAAAAUGAAAAAAGUGAGUGAAAUCACACAUAAUUCCAGAACAAAAUACCAUGGAGGAAUAAAUGGCACAGUAUAAAGCAACUUAAGCUCACAUAGCAUGACUACUAGUGAAGGUUAACUAAAGUUGUUCACUAACUAACCCUGUCAGUAGUCGCUAGAUCAUCAAACUUGUAGAACAAAAUAUGUGCUCAAUUUCAAAAAAUGUUCUGUCUGAAACUUAGUUCUAAGAUCAACGCCGCAGCAAUAUGUCCACAGAUAGAACACUGAUAAUGUUGUCUGUGUGUAAUUUAAUGAAACACAAAUAGGACAGAAGUGCUUACAAACUUUAUAUUCUACAGCUUUAACCAUUGUUGAUGCACAGAGCAGCCAUCUUUGAUUGGACAUGAAUGAUUAAGUUCUUUAUUAACUUUCACUGUCUCCUCAUUUUGUAAAUUAUGGAGAAUGUUAGACUUUAAAAGACCACUAGCUUAUGUUAAAGGCUGAUUAUCAUGGGUUUAAGGCAUAUUGAUGUGGAU